rnacentral:lncRNA from 1 species
GACUCUUUGAAGUUCACCCAAAGUGGGAUCCAUGUACAAAUUGUUUCACAGUUUUCCUUCUUCUCCGAGGCAAAGUGAAAGCAACAGAAAACUCUCCACUGUUAGCUAUCAGUGGACCCCUCCCAGCGUUUGCUCUGCUGCUUGGAGGAGUGACCCAUACGCUCAACACCUGGCGAGUGCUGCAUCCUGUCAGCCUCCUGUGGAAGCGGUUCACUUCGGUGCUGUCCAGGACUUUCCACUUUCCUUUAUAGGAGCAGUGAUUGCGUCAGUGGCCGCCGUUAGGGAACUGAGCUGCUAUGUAACAUGUUCUGAGAAUCAGAAGCCCAUCUUUGACCCCAGGAUAGCAGAUUAAUUAUGUCUGUGGGCAUCGGGCAUCAUCUUUUGUAUGGCAGGUGGCCAGGGUUUGUCUGCCGAUUCCCCCAGAGAAGACACUCGCCUUGUCGUCAUUGUGCCUGCUACCCUCGACUAACACAAGGACCUGGCAAAGAGGAAUAUUUUGUGCUUGUCAAGUACUUUCCUCCACUCUCUACCAUCAGCUUGGCUAAAACUCCUGAGAUGGUAACAGUAGCAAGCAGAGAUGUCACAUAGGCAGUUCUCCAUUCUCGGUGCCUCAGGACCUGGAAGUUAACCACUUUCGGGAUGAAAUUCUUGCCUUGACAUCUGUCUCCCUCAACAGUAAACAGAGGGUGCAGCACUAAUGAAAGGUUUCCCCAGGCGUCCCUCCCUUGACAAGCAACGUGAGUGCCCAGGCUGACUGCUGCCUUUGUCCCUGCAGGAGAUGAGCGUGGGCUAUGCAAAUGGGAUCUGGGUGAUGAGCAUGACGCACACAGGAGAGCCAGGAUUCAUGCUCUACAUCCCCAUAGAGCUAGCAAGGAACUGAGGCCCUUAGGCCCACAGCCCAUGAGGAACUGAAUCCUGCCAACAGCCAUGUGAGCUUGGAACUGGAUCCUUCUGUUGCUGAGCUGGAGGUGACUACAGCCCAGCGGACACCCCACCUGCAGCCGGUGAGCAACUCAAAGCAGAGACCGAGGUGAGCCGGGCCUGGACCCCUGAGCCAAGGAAACUGUGAGAUAACAAAUGUGUGUUGUAAGCAGCUGACUGUUACGGUAAUUUUCUAGGCAGCCAUAGGUAACCAGUACACCAUGCUAGGUCAGAUUAAACAUCCUCAGAUUAGCAUCCCUUCCAUUCCCUGGUUCCUGAAUGUGGCCAUGAUUUUUAAUGCAUGAAAGAGCCAUGGCAGGGAGAUUAUCUGUAGAUCAAUAAAAUCAUACUAACCAGGAACACAGGCUGAUUGCCCUUCUUCCUCUUCUUGGGGAAAGAGAAUACUGGGAAGUGGGAUUAAUUUUAAUCCCUCCCCAAGACCCCAGUUUCCAGCCUGAUAUCAUUUGCCCAGCAGUGCCAGUGGUCCCAGGCCCUCAGGUCUGGCCCAGUCUGCGACUGCGGCUCUCUGCCUUGAGAUGUCAUUAGUUCUUGUCUGGGCCUUCAGCCAAACAUAGUUGGCAAGAGUCAUGUCCAGUCUCUCAAGGACAAUUUUGGGGCCGUUUCCUGUGUAAUUAUAGGGUGAGCAGCAGGGUAGAUGGUGCUAUUACAGCAGCAAAUUAGCCUGAAAGGUGGCCUCUGCAGCUCUAGGACUCCCACGGAGGCUGGCUUAGGACACAGCUCUCGCCUCUGUGAUGGCCUCCCCAUAAGUAUCUGGGGUCUGGUGGGCUGUGGGUGCAGAAGCAUUGUUUCUUCUGGGAGGGUAUCCAUUUCACCCCCAAACCUUUGGAUUUUAUUUUGUGUUAUUUAUUUAUUUUUGAGACAGGGUCUUGCUCUGUUGCCCAGGCUGGAGUGCAGUGGUGCGAUCUAUCUAGGCUCACUGCAGCCUCAAACUCCUGGGCUCAAGCAGUCCUCCCACCUCAGCCUUCCGAGUAGCUGGGACUAUACGCACAUGCCACCAUGCCUGGCAAAUUUUGUCUUGUUUUUUUGAGACAGGGUCUCACUUUGUCACCCAGGCUGGAGUGUACACG